rnacentral:lncRNA from 1 species
CAGGCCUUGUUUAGUUCGCAAAAAUUUUCGGUUUUGGCUACUGUAGCACUUUCGUUUUUAUUUGACAAACAUUGUCGAAACAAAGUGUAACUAGGCUCAAAAGAUUCAUCUCACAAAUUACAGGUAAACUUUGUAAUUAGUUUUUAUUUUCAUUUAUAUUUAAUGCUCCAUACAUGCAACCGAAGAUUCGAUGUGACGGGAAAUCUUGA